UACGUAGGGGGCAAGCGUUGUCCGGAUUUAUUGGGCGUAAAGAGCGUGUAGGCGGCCACACAGGUCAGCUGUGAAAACUCGAGGCUCAACCUCGAGACGUCGGUUGAAACCGUAUGGCUAGAGUCCGGAAGAGGAGAGUGGAAUUCCCGGUGUAGCGGUGAAAUGCGCAGAUAUCGGGAAGAACACCUAUGGCGAAGGCAGCUCUCUGGGACGGUACUGACGCUGAGGUGCGAAAGCGUGGGGAGCAAACAGG
rnacentral:rRNA from 1 species